GGAGUGAGGUCAAGAAUUCGGAUCAGUAGAGACUGUUGGAGAUUCCUGGGAGCAUGUGGCCUUUUUCCAGCUCCAUCAUACAAUCCCAGACCUCAACCUACACCCAAGACCACAUAACAUCUUGAGGAAACAUAACCACAUCAGCUUGAUGGAAACAGACGAUUUCACCUUCUCACUCCAAUAAUAGAAGUUCAAGACAAACCUCCCAGCAUCUGCCAUGAUAUGUAAAGUAGUUCAAAUUAGUGGUUAUGAAAUGUUUAGGCUCACAGUACAAAUUGUUUCUGUUUUUUUUCUUUUAAUACAAAAUAAAAGAUUUCAAAUCAGG